AUAUGAAUCACGUAGGAUCUUGCUAAAAUGCAGAUUUUGACCCAGUAUCUCUGGGCUGGGAUUUGAGAACCUACAUUUCUAAUAGGCUCCCAGGUAAUGCAAAU
rnacentral:miRNA from 1 species